rnacentral:rRNA from 1 species
UACGUAGGGUGCAAGCGUUAAUCGGAAUUACUGGGCGUAAAGCGUGCGCAGGCGGCUUUGCAAGACAGAUGUGAAAGCCCCGGGCUUAACCUGGGAAUUGCGAUGGAGACUGCAAGGCUUGAAUCUGGCAGAGGGGGGUAGAAGUUCCACGUGUAGCAGUGAAAUGCGUAGAGAUGUGGAGGAACACCGAUGGCGAAGGCAGCCCCCUGGGUCAAGAUUGACGCUCAUGCACGAAAGCGUGGGGAGCAAACAGG